CACUAUCCAAUCCACCAUCACCUUAACCAACCUUACACCAGCAGCAGUGCGGCACCACCUUACCAAAGUAGAGAAGUCUUCAUAUCAUCAUCUCCAAAUCUUCCUUCUAUUUCGAAUUGGAUGCAAAAAACGGCAUGUCAUGGAUCUAGCAGACGAAGUUAGCCGAAGCAUUUCACAGCAAGAGCUGAUAGCUUCAUCAUGAUUUUCCAGUGAGUUGUUAUUGUUCAUGGCUUUGAGGCAAAAACUGAGGCGAAUUACUUUGGAAGAUAUCAGCGUUUACAUCAAGGGUUAUCGAUGUUAUAGCUCAAAGUUGGACUGGAACAAGCUUAGGCCAAUGAUACUUAGAAGAAUAGAAAAGAGGGCUAAUGACUAUCCAGUCAAGAGUAUGAUUCCUGUUGCUGAAGAUGUUAUUAUCAACCGAGCACGUCUAUUCGAAGGUGUUUCCACACUCCUCAGACAUUACCCUAUCAAGGCCUGUAAGUUUUGCCCUGAAUUAUACAUAGGCAAAGAAGGGCAUCUUAUUAAAACAUGCCAUGGGUACAGGCGUCAUAUCAAGAACCAGGUUCAUCACUGGGUUGAUGGUUCCCUUAAUGAUAUUAUUGUUCCUGUUGAGGCCUUCCAUCUAAACAAGUACCCAGAUAUAAUUAAGCAUGAUCAAAGAUUCGAUUUUGAUCGCAUCCCUGCAGUACUUGAGCUAUGUUCUCAGGCAGGUGCCGACAUCUUUGAUCAAACAUUGCACUCCAUUGGUAAAGAUAGUUUGUCUUCUGAUGUGUCUACUUCGCCCUCAGAUCUUACAUAUUUGGCAGUUCAAACUUUAAAGGCAUGGGAGGAUAUGAGAGAAGGAGUGCAGAAGUUGUUGUUGGUUUAUCCUGCUAAAGUUUGCAAGUUUUGUGACGAAGUUCAUGUUGGACCAUCUGGGCAUAAGGCUAGGCUUUGUGGGGUGUUCAAAUAUGAAACUUGGAGAGGAGCCCAUUUUUGGAAGACAGCACGGGUUGACGACUUGGUCCCUCAGAAGAUUGUAUGGCGGCGGCGGAAUCAAGAUCCACUUGUAUUAUUGGAUAAGGGGCGCAAUUUUUAUGGGCAUGCUCCUGCAGUUGUUGAGCUAUGCAUUCAGGCUGGAGCGCAUGCCCCUAGCAAGUAUAUGUGUAUAAUGAAAGCAAAUGGUUCAUCUCCCCUUCAUUAAUUUUGAAGUUUGGCCGUCUGAUACCACCAAAUAUGCUGUCCUCAAAUAGAAUGCUGUUCUCAAACAGAAUCACAGAUUACUUGAUUAGGAACUUCUUGAAGUCAGAGGUUUCUAAUUUCUAUGGUUCGAGUUUCAUGGAGCUGACUUACUCAAGGCUUGGAUUAGCAUCGGUGCAACUCUGAGGCUUACAGAUGUUCCGUUUUUGAGCUCAUAAAAUUCGACGGUGUAAUCGUUUCUUAGCUCUAAUCCAUUAAGCCAGAAACUCUGUCAACCAACUUUCACACCUGUUAAACUUUUUAAACUUUUUCUUCACUUGAAGAAAUGUGUCAGUAGACAAUACUUCCAGUGGAUACUUUUGAAACUCUUCCGUUUCUAUAGUGAUUCUAACCUUCAUAGUAGAACUCAUCUUGGUGAUUGCAACUUCAGAUCCUUCAAUUUAUAUAAAACAACUUGAUUGGAGUGAAUUGAUAUGAGAGUAUUUAUAUCUAGUUUUGCAGAAAGAGAUUAAAAGUUCUGUAAUUCUGUUGUUCACUGCAAAGUUGUUUUCAACUAAAAUUGAAGAAGUGUGAAUAACUUUUUAGAUAAAUAUUCUUUGAGGACCCUGACUCUUUCACCCUCGAA